AGGGUUAUAGUUUAACAAAACAUUUGAUUUGCAUUCAAAAAUUAUUAAUUAUUUAAUUUACCUUA
rnacentral:tRNA from 1 species